UCUUCAGUUGCAGUUUCAGUGGUGUUCGAUCGAAGUCCAGAGACGACCCCAAGCAAGUUGCAAAACCUCGUGGAUUUGGUGAUGUGGAGAGAUGUAUCAUAAUCAGCUUUUGUAUUUGGAGUAUUCUUCCUGCUCUCUUCCUUCUCUCACCAAAGAUUUCAAUUUUAGCUUGAUUUCUGCAAUUUCCUACAUGGGUCUUGUGUAUCUUGCUGCAAUCUUUUUCUAUAAAUCAAUUCUUUGCAGGGUAGCUACAGAUAUGGAUGAUUCAAACAAGGAAUAUAUAGUGGGGGGAACAAGAAGCAAUGUGGGUACUAAAACUGUUCCUUAAUUGAAUGAG